rnacentral:lncRNA from 1 species
GAGACAUCAGUAUCUCACCCUGAGUGCGGAGGAGAGGAGCAGAGGAGGAGAGGUGCAGUGUGUGGCCCAGCAGCCCGAUGUGCAAGAACCUGCCAAUGGAACUCUCGACCUAACCGCCGUUGACCCACGAGAGAAGCUGAAGUCUCUGAACGUCUCAGCGAUCGUUCUGCCCCCCAGGGUGAUUGUGGAGAAAAAAUACAGUGCUUUUUGCUUGGCAGCCUACACUCCUCGCAGCUCUCGUGUAUCUGUGGUGUCGGAGAAAAGCUCUCUGCUGCCCUCUGCUGCUGCCUCAGGAUAUUACAAGCUACACACUCAGAAGUCGCCACGCUCGUCCUCCUGCUCCAUGAAGCAGCUGUUCUCCUCCGUCACAUUUAUACCCGACCUGUCCAUUCACAAGUGUGCAAUCUUCAAAUGCCACAUCUCGUAUAAGGGCAAAGACAAGGUUGUGGCCGAGAGAGUGUCCGACAAGUUUACUAUUCUAGCACCACCUGAAGUUUCAGAGAUCCAGUUCUCAGAGCCGAAUGAGGAAGGAGGCGUUGUGACCAUGACGGCCCAGGCCUCUGGCUUUCACCCGGACAUCAUCACCUUCCGCUGGUUCUGUGAGGGACGCUGCAGGCUUCUUCUCGGCCCUGAGCCAGUGCAGGCUCCCCGCCGCAGAGCUGGAGCGAGGAGAGACCCGGGUGUGGGACACCGUCCACCAACCUCAAACAGCCCCUCACACGCCAGACUAGAGAGCCUGCAGAGGAAGCAGCAUCUUGAUGGCUCACAGUUCUUUAGAAAUCUACAUCUUCUCUGGACGCCCACAAGAAACUUUAUAC